rnacentral:ncRNA from 1 species
GAAACUAUUGUGGAGUCUAAGCUAUAUAUUAAAGAGAUUUAUUAAUUAUCAUAGAUUAAAAUUAAAUUAGUUAAACAACUAAUAAAAUUUUGAAAGUAAAACGUAUUUUAAUACUUUACUAUAAAUCUAAUAAAAAUAUUUUAACUCUAGGAAAAAUUCAAUUUCAAUAAACUAGGUGAAUUGAAAUAUCUUAGUAACCUAAGGAAAAGAAAUCAAAAGAGAUUCUAAAAUUAGCGUGAGUGAAAUUAGAGAAGUCUUAAAUUAAAAUGGAAAAAAAUCUGUUUGAACAAAUGGGGAACCUUCCUCAAAGACUAAAUAUAAUAUAUAAGCAAUAGCGUAUAUGUACCGUGAGGGAAAGAAAUAUGAAACAGUAGUUUUAUAAGCAGUUUUAAUCACAUUUGUGUGUUCAAAACGUACCUUUUGCAUAAUGGGUCACCAAGUUAACAUUAGAUACAAGCAUUAAGCGUAGUUAAACCGGACGUUAAAAUAACGAUAAGAGUAUCUAAAGUUAGACCCGAAGCCUGGUGAUUAUACUAUAGUCAGGAUUAUAAAAGUCCGAACGGUUUAUUGUAGCAAAAAUAUCCGAAGAACUAUGGUAGGUGUAGUGAAAGACAACACUGACCAGGAUAGCUGGUUUUCUGCGAAACCUAUAACAGUAGGCAAUUCAAGAUAAUAUCUUAGCAGGUACAGAACUUAAUCUCAGACAAUAGAUGAUAAUAAUCAAAUAUUGUAUAUAUUGGGGGAUCGUGAAGAUUUUACCAGUGAGUAUGCAGACUCGGAAUGGCAAAGAUAAAACUUGAAUGAUCAGACAUAGAAUGAUAAGGUUGUAUGUCAAAAGGGAAACAGCCCAGAACAAGAGUUAAGGUUCCUAAAUUAUUAGUUAAGUGAAAUGAAGAAUGUAUUUAUUAAAGUCGACAAGAAGAUAGGCUUAGAAGCAGCCAUAAUUUUAUGACCUCGUAACAGAGCACUUGUUAAGUUAUAAACAGCGUCAAUAAUUUAACGGAUCUAAACAAUAUACCGAAACCUUGUCCAUGAUAUAUUAUAAAAAUUUUUUAUAAUAAAAUGGGGUAGCAGAACAUUGAAUAAAUUUACUACUUUUAUUUUUCAAAUAAAAUUAACAUUAUUUAAUUCAAGUGAGAAUGGUGACAUGAGUAACGAAAAGAAAUAAUUUAAUAUUUCCGCCUAAAGCUUAUGGCUAGCGUUAAGUACGGCCUCUAAACUAAAGUAAUGCUAAAGAUUUUUAGUGAUGAGAAAAUCUAAAAGACAUUUGACCGCAUUGUAUGUGAACAAUGUGCUGGAAAAUUAACUUUAACCUAUUAAGUCAUAGUUAUCUUCAAAGAUAACAUAGAUUAAACCGUACCUAGAUACUGACACAAGUAAGCGAGUAGAGAAUACGAAGGCGUUUGAGCUAACAAUCAUAAAGGAACUCGGCAAAUUGACUACCGUAACUUCGGGAUAAGGAGAGCUCAUAUUUCUUGGUUAAUACCAAGUGAAAUAGAAGAGGCAUAGAAUAGUGCUGUACGACUGUUUAAUUAAAACACAGCACUUUGCAUAAGAUUCAAAAAAAUCUAAGUAUAAAGUGUGAGAUCUGCCCGGUGCCGGCUGGUUAAUAGAGAUACUUGAAUGAACUAACAUUUGACAUCGACAGAACCCCCGGUUAAAGGCGGCCUUAACGUGAGGGUCCUAAGGUAGCGAAAUGCCUUGGCCGUUAAAUGCGGUCUUGCAUGAAUGGUGUAACGAUACAGCAGCUGUCUCUAUGAUUGACUCAGUGAAAUUG